CUGUUUCUAUAGCAAACCCAUGAAAGGGAGAAGCCUGCUGGUGUGAGCUGCUUUGAUGGGAGGAAGCCUGGAAAACGCAUUUUAAUUUCAAUUUGUGUGAAGCUUUUGUAUCAAAUUACGGAUCUGGGCAGGAUGUGGCUUAGCGAAGAAUCCCACUUUCCUAGGUUGGCAUGUAUUCAUUGUGCCACCAUGGGGUGAAAUAAUUAAUGCUAAAACACCCCCUUUCUCCUGUGAUGGCUGCUGGUCUCCCACUUCCCAGACUGAUCAGAUCAGGGGUCAAAUAAGAGAUUAAUAUUCACAGACCACGGCUACCUACUUGGAAGCCCCAGAGUAGGGCAGCAGGGCAGUCCCCCCAGGCAAGUCUCUUGCUGCAAUGGGAUCAUGCAAGUCGGCUGAGGUUUAACUGCAAGAUGACCAGCCAAUGGCCAGCCAAGGCUGCCUAACUGAUCCAAAGCAAAGGCGAGGAACUCAGGAAGGAACGCAGCUGCAUUUAGCAAAACCAUCAGGCCACUGGUUUCCCUGCAGCUGGAUUCACCCAGUUGUUUUGAUGCAAGUGAGAUUGGCCCUGUAAAAGAAAGACAACACAAUGAGGGGGAUGGGGUGAGGGGCGAAGAGCCACUAGUAUUUAAUCGUUAUUCAUUCUAUCUGGUUGGGCAAACCAAGAUGAUCUCCGUAGGGGUACCUGACCAGGGAUGCUAGAAUAGAUCUGCUUGAUUGGCGUCCUCACCCUCCUUCCCCAGCUGCUGGAAGAGUUGCUGCUACCGGUCAACAGAUGCUUUUAAAGGACAGCUUUCCACUGGGUCAGCAAGGAGGGUGUACUCUAUCCCUUGACCUCCCUCCAUCAACUCUUUGGGGGACAGCACCUUCAUGACAUGGGCACCUCUGAAGCAUGACUUCUUUAACUCAACAAACAGCCCGCCCUCUUUGGUCCUCAGUCGUGGCCUGAUACUGCAGGAUGAUCUCCUCAGCAAGACCCCUCGCAUACUAUCAUCUACUUCAGCAAACCUUUACCAGGCGAGACAACUUAUUCCUUGUUCCAGAAAUUCAGAUGUGGAAGAUGACUUGGGGGCCAUAAUGUUCUGCCUGCCAUACUGACCUAAGAUAGUACAAGCAUGGUCCUGAGAAGCAGACUCACGUGAAGAGAUGAGGUAUCAUCCACGCCUGGCAUGUACAUACCACAAUGACUUGGGUUUCUAACAAAUGGAGACCUGAGAUUGGCUGUGGGGGAAGAGGGUGCACUGGCUUGUGGAACAUCAACGGGGCUGGAAGGAAGUGACAGUCACUCUGGGGACUAUGAAAUUGAGAGGCCGCUGCUAAACACCAUGAAUGCUUUGAAGAGAGAAAUAAAAAAAGACAUUCACGGGGCA
rnacentral:lncRNA from 1 species